rnacentral:tRNA from 1 species
GCGGGCGUGGUGGAAUGGUAGACACAGCGGACUUAAAAUCCGCAGCCUAUGGCGUGGGGGUUCGAGUCCCCCCGCCCGCACCA